AUUCUACUCCCUCCGUUGCACAAUACUACAUGCCUUCUAUUUGUCAAAAUAUAUAUGUAUCUAGACAUGUCUUAGUAUAUAGGUACAUCCAUUUUUCGACAAAUGGAAGUCAAAUAUUUUGGAAUGGAGGGAGUACACA
rnacentral:pre_miRNA from 1 species